rnacentral:misc_RNA from 1 species
AACAUCGCGCACCUGCGGGAACCUGCGGAAGGAUCAUUAUCGAGUUGCAAAACUCCAACCCUUUGUGAACAUACCUCAGUCGUUGCUUCGGCGGUGGACGGCCUGUUUUUCGGAACGGCCGGAAGCCGCCGGAGGUUCCAAACUCGUAUUUUUUAGUGUAUCUCUGAGCCUGAAAACAAAUAAUCAAAACUUUUAGCAAUGGAUCU